GACGUAGGGCGCGAGCGUUGUCCGGAUUUAUUGGGCGUAAAGAGCGUGUAGGCGGCCAGGUAGGUCUGCUGUGAAAACUCGAGGCUCAACCUCGAGACGUCGGCGGAAACCAUCUGGCUAGAGUCCGGAAGAGGAGAGUGGAAUUCCUGGUGUAGCGGUGAAAUGCGCAGAUAUCAGGAAGAACACCCGUGGCGAAGGCGGCUCUCUGGGACGGUACUGACGCUGAGACGCGAAAGCGUGGGGGAGCGAACAGG
rnacentral:rRNA from 1 species